rnacentral:tRNA from 1 species
GGGGGUAUAGCUCAGUGGUAGAGCAUUUGACUGCAGAUCAAGAGUGCCCAGGUUCAAGUCCAGGUGCCCCCU